rnacentral:ncRNA from 1 species
AUGAAAAAGAUGAGAGAGACCUUUAAAAAGGCGCCGAAGGGGUAAACCGAGCCAGGUGAAACUCUCAGGCAAAAGGAUCAUCUUUGGACC